GAUGAACGCUAGCUACAGGCUUAACACAUGCAAGUCGAGGGACCGGCGCACGGGUGAGUAACACGUAUCCAACCUGCCCUUUACUCGGGGAUAGCCUUUCGACAGAAAGCUUAAUACCCGAUGUAAAGGAUGGGGAUGCGUUCCAUUAGGUUGUUGGUGAGGUAACGGCUCACCCAGCCUUCGAUGGAUAGGGGUUCUGAGAGGAAGGGCCCCAAAAUUGGAACGGAGACACGGUCCAAACUCCUACGGGAGGCAGCAGUUAGGAAUAUUGGGAAAUGGGCGUUAGACUGAACCAGCCAAGUAGCGUGAAGGAUGAAGGAUUAUGGGUCGUAAACUUCUUUUAUAUAAGAAUAUGUAGUAUAUGAAUAAGGAUCGGCUAACUCCGUGCCAGCAGCCGCGGUAAUAC
rnacentral:rRNA from 1 species